AAGUUUGGGGCCACGAUAGGCAAGAUGUACCAACUGAUAAACUAGAGACAAUAAAUCCUCAGGCUAAACUUCACACAUGACUCAAACUUUCUUCGAGAAUAUGCUCAAUUUGCAUUGAUGCCAGGAGCAGCUUCUGUAAUGUGUGGACUGUUCUUUGCAGUGAUCAUUCAGACCACAAAUUAGCUAGAAAAUGGGACUUAAUAUCUUGCUUUCACCCUCUAAUCCUUCUUUGAAGAUCGUCCCAUUACGUCCAAGCAACA
rnacentral:lncRNA from 1 species